rnacentral:rRNA from 1 species
AUACGUAGGGGGCGAGCGUUGUCCGGAAUGAUUGGGCGUAAAGGGUGCGUAGGCGGCGCGGUAAGUCUGGAGUGAAAGUCCUGCUUUCAAGGUGGGAAUUGCUUUGGAUACUGCCGCGCUUGAGUGCAGGAGAGGUUAUCGGAAUUCCCGGUGUAGCGGUGAAAUGCGUAGAGAUCUGGAGGAACACCAGUGGCGAAGGCGGCUAACUGGACUGCAACUGACGCUGAGGCGAGAAAGUGUGGGUAGCAAGCAGGAUUAGAUACCCUGGUAGUCCACACUGUAAACGAUGAGUGCUAGGUGUAAGAGGUAUCGAGCCCUUUUGUGCCGGAGUCAACACAAUAAGCACUCCGCCUGGGGAGUACGGCCGCAAGGUUGAAACUUAAAGGAAUUGACGGGG